CUACGGGUCGCUGCAGUGGGGAAUAUUGCACAAUGGACGAAAGUCUGAUGCAGCAACGCCGCGUGGAGGAUGACACAUUUCGGUGCGUAAACUCCUUUUAUAUAAGAAGAUAAUGACGGUAUUAUAUGAAUAAGCACCGGCUAACUCCGUGCCAGCAGCCGCGGUAAUACGGGGGGUGCAAGCGUUACUCGGAAUCACUGGGCGUAAAGCGCAUGUAGGCGGACUUGUAAGUUGGAAGUGAAAUCCUAUGGCUCAACCAUAGAACUGCUUCCAAAACUGCUUGUCUAGAAUAUGGGAGAGGUAGAUGGAAUUUCUGGUGUAGGGGUAAGAUCCGUAGAGAUCAGAAGGAAUACCGAUUGCGAAGGCGAUCUACUGGAACAUUAUUGACGCUCAGAUGCGAAAGCGUGGGGAGCAAACAGGAUUAGAUACCCGUGUAGUC
rnacentral:rRNA from 1 species